CAGAGAGCUUUGGUCAGAAGGUUCAAGUCGUAAAUGCCUUGGAGCGGGGCCAUUCUAUGAGGAGUGGUCCUAGUCGGGAGGAUGCUGGGGCAUGGGGCGCUCUGUUAGAAAUCUGCAGACUGGGCCUCACUAGCCACUAGCAACUCCACCCAGAGACUCCUGAGUUCUCCCUAAGGGAGGACUCUGUGACUCAGCAUCUCCCCUCCUAUGACUCGGCAGCUCCCUUCUGUGACCUCAUCAGUGAUUGUGGUGACAGGAAGGGGGUCCAAUCACAACCAUGUCUGCUCCUUGUUCCUCAUUCCAAGGCCAAGGCAGGUGGGCAGUAGAGGUGGCAGGAGGAGGAGCCAGGGUCAGGGCUGGCUGGAAGAAGGCAGCAUUUAUCUGCUUGAGAACACACAGAACCCCCAGGCAUCCCGGUCAUCUCCCGGCACCGUCUCUUCUGACUCACCCCUGAGCCCCCAGGUUACAGCCGGAGUGCCAGGAGGAGGAGGACGGAGGGGGCCGAAUGCGCUCGUUGUCAUCCUGCAUCUGCAGGCGAAUGGGGCGGCGCAGGCCCCAGGAGAUGUUCAGGAGUCCCUCCACGAUGAACUCGUCUUCUUCCUGCCCACAAAGCAAUCAGAGUGGUGAGCCUGGAAAAGCCCCCACAGACGCCAAGACCAUGCUGAGCUGAACAGUUGAGGCACAAAGAAGCUAUGCCACUUGCCCCAAGACACACAGCUAGGAAGGGGCGGAGCUGAGGCUCAAAUCCAGGGCGGUGCAGCUGCCAAGCGGAACCCAACAAUAGACUACAACUUCUCUUGAGGUGGUCAGCCUACGAAGACCCGGCUCUUCCACCACCAACUGCGGCCCAGCCCAGCCCUCCCUGCCCAAGCCUGGGUUCCCAGACGCGACUGCGGGAGAUGGGAGGAAGCAGUCCUGGGCCCACCCAGACAAUGGCCUCGCAGGCCAGAGAAGCAGCCACAUGUUUACAGGGAAGCCCCACCGGCGUCCACAAGUGCCUGACCUUUAGGAUGGAUGUUGUAGAAGGAAACUCAGAGCUCUUAGCCUCUAAUCAGAGAGCCAGGGCGCUGAAGCAGGACAAAAAAGGAAGCAUAGAGGAAGCACAGACUCCAGAAAGAAGCAGCUGUGUGUGCGUGGGUGUGAGCAUAGCUCCCGGUGUGUGAGUGAGAGUCCAGUGUGUGGAUGGAGCGUAUGGUUGGGGAGUGGUGUAUCGCUGUGUAUGUGUGUAUGUGUGUGUCCACAUGCAUGGUGUGUGUGCUUGGUAUGUGUAGAACUAGACUCUGGCUCAGAGAAACUAAAGACCUAGAAUGCUAACCAGCCAAGACAGCCUCUUGUGGGUUCCAAUUCAACCAAGUGACAAAUUCCCUGUGGCUGUGGAACCCAAGGGGAGAGUGGGAAGUUGGCGGAGACAACACUGGCCCCAAUAAAGCAAAUAAGACGAGA